AGAGUUUGAUUCUGGCUCAGGAUGAACGCUAGCGGCAGGCUUAACACAUGCAAGUCGAGGGGCAGCGUGGAGUAGCAAUACUCUGACGGCGACCGGCGAAAGGGUGAGUAACGCGUGAGCAACAUGCCCCGGUAGUGGAGGAUAGUCGAUGGAAACGUCGCGUAAUACUCCGUAACAACAUUGACCGCAUGAUCGAUGUUUAAUAGAUUUAUUGCUAUCGGAUUGGCUCGCGUACCAUUAGCUAGUUGGCGGGGUAACGGCCCACCAAGGCGACGAUGGUUAGGGGUUCUGAGAGGAACGGUCCCCCACAUUGGAACUGAGACACGGUCCAGACUCCUACGGGAGGCAGCAGUGAGGAAUAUUGGACAAUGGCCGGAAGGCUGAUCCAACGCCAUGCCGCGUGGCGGGAAGACCGGCCCUAGUGGGUUAGUAAACUGUCUUUGCCGGGGAAUAAAGUUCGGGACGCGUCCCGUUUUGUAUGUACCCGGAGAAUAAGGACCGGCUAAUUCCGUGCCAGCCGCCGC
rnacentral:rRNA from 1 species